rnacentral:lncRNA from 1 species
ACAGAUUUCUUUUUUAUUUCCACUCAUUUUCAGGGUGGUUCUUCCCAAACAAAGUUGAGCAGCCAGGGUACGUUUCUUGAAGAGUUGGGCCUAGCAAUAUGGCAGCGCACAUUCGAUAAGAAAUCUUGUAAAGUGCUGCUACUGAGUUCAAUCCUGAAGAAGUGCACAGAACACGUUUGUGUGCAUGAUAUGGCUCUGUUCUGCGUCCAGGACCACAUGCUCUCCCACCCGUUUCCUUGGCCACCGCACACACUUUGCAGGGCCAGAAGUCUUUGA